AGAGUUUGAUCAUGGCUCAGAACGAACGCUGGCGGCGUGCUUAACACAUGCAAGUCGAGCGAGAAAGGGGGGGCAACCCCCUGAGUAGAGCGGCGCACGGGUGAGUAACGCGUGGGUAACCUACCCCCAGGCGGGGGAUAACCACUCGAAAGGGUGGCUAAUACCGCAUGAGACCACGGGAUCUUCGGAUCCUGAGGCUAAAGAUUGCACCGGCUUGCCGGUGCUGUCACCAGGGGAUGGGCCCGCGUCCGAUUAGCUAGUUGGCGAGGUAAUGGCUCACCAAGGCUACGAUCGGUAGCUGGUCUGAGAGGAUGAUCAGCCACACUGGAACUGAAACACGGUCCAGACUCCUACGGGAGGCAGCAGUGAGGAAUAUUGCGCAAUGGGGGAAACCCUGACGCAGCAACGCCGCGUGGGUGAAGAAGGCCUUCGGGUCGUAAAGCCCUUUCGGACGGGACGAACGCUCCGCGGUGACAACCCGCGGAGUCUGACGGUACCGUAGGAAGAAGCACCGGCUAACUCCGUGCCAGCAGCCGCGGUAAUACGGAGGGUGCGAGCGUUGUUCGGAAUUACUGGGCGUAAAGCGCGUGUAGGCGGCCUUGCAAGUCAGGCGUGAAAGCCCUCGGCUUAACCGGGGAAGUGCGUCUGAAACUGCUUGGCUUGAGUACGGGAGAGGGAGGCGGAAUUCCCAGUGUAGAGGUGAAAUUCGUAGAUAUUGGGAGGAACACCGGUGGCGAAAGCGGCCUCCUGGACCGAUACUGACGCUGAGACGCGAAAGCGUGGGGAGCAAACAGGAUUAGAUACCCUAGUAGUCC
rnacentral:rRNA from 1 species